UACCAGCACCCCGAGUGGUCGGGACGAUUAUUGGGCCUAAAGCAUCCGUAGCCGGCCUUACAAGUCCUCCGUUAAAUCCAGCUGCUUAACAGAUGGGCUGCGGAGGAUACUAUAAGACUAGGAGGCAGGAGAGGCAAGCGGUACUCAGUGGGUAGGGGUAAAAUCCGUUGAUCCAUUGAAGACCACCAGUGGCGAAGGCGGCU
rnacentral:rRNA from 1 species